AAAAAAUGUUUCCUGAAUUUUCUGGAGCAAACGCGUGUUCCUUUCAUUUCUACCAAGUCAAGACUUUUCUGGUUAAGGUACAACAGAAAGACUUUAUCACGGCAGCCUCGCUAUCCCCAGGCCUGGAGGCCGACGCUGAUUACCCUGAAGCCCAUGCCCGAUCGGACCAGCUCAAGCCACCGGAGUCGGGGAACAGGUGGAAAUACUUGCAGAAACACGGGUUGUCCUGCCAGUCGCCAACUAAACAGUGUCCAAAAGUCAGAGCAACAGCUGAGAACGAGCCAACGAUGUCUUCCGUAGAAACACGCAUGUGACACCCCCCCCGCCCCCCCCCCAUGCACACUGCUUUGGUCUCUUUAAACAAAAUUUUUUUUUUCUUUUGCUCUGUCAGGUAGUUACUAAUAGAGAGCACAAAAAAACGUCCUGGGCAGUUGGGGUGCCCGGGCGGCUCAGUCGGUUGAGCGUCUCACUCUUGGUUUUGGCUCAGGUCAUGAUCUCACGGGUCAUGGGUUCAAGCCCUGCAUCAGGCUCCACGCUGACAGCUCAGAGCCUGCUAGGGAUUCUGUCUCUCCCUCUCCCUCCGCCCCUCCCCCCACUCUCUCUCUUCUCUAAUACAACAGAUUUUUGAAAAUAAAAAAAGAAACGGGCACCUGGGUGGCUCAGUCGGUUAAGUGUCCAACCUCGGCUCAGGUCAUGAUUUCGGGGCUCGUGAGUUUGAGCCCCGCAUCGGGCUCUGUGCUCAGAGUUCGGAGCCUGGCACCUGCUUCCGUUCUGGGUCUCCCUCUCUCUCUGCCCCCUCCCUGCUCACUCUGUCUUCCUCAAAAAUAAAAUAAACAUUAAAAAAUAAUAGUAAUAAAAACAGAAAAAAGAAAUGUCCUGGGCCAUAGUGCAGGAAUACGGGGGCAGGGGGCGCAUGUGGGAACCUCCUGUGCAAAAACUCGAGAGUUAAAGACUGGAGAGUUAAAGCUGCGUUCAAAUCCCGGUGCUCAAAUCCCAGGUGGCUUAACUCCCUGAACCUGUUUCCCGUUCUCUAGAGGGUAAAAGUAAUAGCGACCUCAGUGUGAUGGGAGGUGUAAAGAGGUCUGUGGUAGCCACUGUCCCCAAAGAGCUUUUUCUCGUAUAUGACAAACCCACGAAGUAAGACAUGUUAUGUCACGAUCAUCAUGGGUAACUCAGAGGCCAAGGUAGGGGGAGUCUCUCAUUUGGCAGACCCCACCCCCCACCGGGUGUGCAGUGGGGCUGUGAACAGCCAUCGGGGAGCUGAGGGGAGGGGUGACAGGCAUGGUGACCGGCACCAGGCCUCCUGUGAGUGGCAGCCUGCGGCCGGGCUCUUUCUUAUCCCGUUCCUUCUCAAACAGAUAGGAUCCGGGCGUCCGUCUCCUGUGCACGCAGAGAGUAAGACUACUGACUUAGUGCACACCUACUUCCAUACCAAGCCUCCAGAAUUUUCCCUGGAAACCUGAAACAACGUCUAUCCCACUCUGCAAAAACGCUCCACCAAAGCCCCACCCCGGUCCAGCCCCUGGCCUAAAGGUGCCCUCACCCACCUGAGGAAUGAACCUGGACAGCCAGCCCGCCAGCUCUGAGCUGGCGCCAGGACCCACCCCCCUGCCGCUUCACCAGCAGGGCCCAGGACACACAGCUGUUGACACACCUCCCUGCUCCCACUCGGCCACCUUCACACGGAGGGAAACCUGAGCCUCCCACACCUGAAGCAGCUUAUCCAGAGCCUUUAAUUACUGCUGAAGGUCCUGGCGGCCAACACUGGAGGCUCAGGCGUCUACAGAACGGACAUCAAGGGCGUCGGUACCAGAAGCCCGGGUCUGUCCGGAGGGGGGACAGGCUGGGAAGCCCAGGCUGCCGAUUCUGAGCCAGGCUGGCUCUGCAAUUGCUGUGGAUGGGGUGCUAUCUCCAUGCGUAAAUGGGGGGUGCUGUCGGCCCACCGACCAACGGUUCACACCUUAGAAAGGGGACACCCAUUAAUUCAAUACACAGGAGCCCUUCAUCCAGCUGUCAAAGGGCUGAGGCCCGGUGCCAGGGCUGGACAGCAGAGCGAGACGCCAGACAACGGGUUCUAUGCCUGGCUCUGCGCUAUCCUACCUGGGUGGCCUUGGGCAGUCACGUUAGCUGUGUGGGCUGAGUUUUUUCAUCGAUAAAAUUGGGGGCGGGGACUAGCCUCUGUGUCAGGCUCCUUCAGCUUCAAAAGCUUGAUUCUGGGAGUCU